CCGGCUCUGGCAGAGCCCCAGGGCAGAACAGGGAGAUGGCUGGAAAGGCCAUGACCCUGUGGGAUUCCUGUGCUGGAGCAGGCUCCUGGCAGGCACCUGCAGAGCCAUGGAAGGAGGAGGCCAUGCUGGAGCAGGAUGUCCUGUCCCAGUCAUGUUCCGAAUGCCAUGGGAAAGGAUAGUGCUUGCAAGAUUUACUGUUGAUACCAAGUUGCUGAAACAUGCCAGUGGAAACAGAGUGCUGUGCUGACUCAAAACACCUUUUCUCUUGACCUGCAUAUCUGCCACCUUCGACUUGGUCAUUAUGGUCAAGAUUUUUCUACUUGUAAUAAAAAUUGUGUGACUGA